GACGAACGCUGGCGGCGUGCCUAAUACACGCAAGUUGAGUGCUGAAGGUUGGUACUUGUACCAACUGGAUGAGCAGCGAACGGGUGAGUAACGCGUGGGGAAUCUGCCUUUGAGCGGGGGACAACAUUUGGAAGCGAAUGCUAAUACCGCAUAAAAACUUUAAACACAAGUUUUAAGUUUGAAAGAUGCAAUUGCAUCACUCAAAGAUGAUCCCGCGUUGUAUUAGCUAGUUGGUGAGGUAAAGGCUCACCAAGGCGAUGAUACAUAGCCGACCUGAGAGGGUGAUCGGCCACAUUGGGACUGAGACACGGCCCAAACUCCUACGGGGGGCAGCAGUAGGGAAUCUUCGGCAAUGGACGAAAGUCUGACCGAGCAACGCCGCGUGAGUGAAGAAGGUUUUCGGAUCGUAAAACUCUGUUGGUAGAGAAGAACGUUGGUGAGAGUGGAAAGCUCAUCAAGUGACGGUAACUACCCAGAAAGGGACGGCUAACUACGUG
rnacentral:rRNA from 1 species